GGCUGGCAGAAACCCAGCUGAAGCACGAAUCCACAGCAGCGCGUCACCGCUCCUGUCUCCAAACCCAUCUACACUGCAUAGUGCGCAUUUGGCCAAGGUCGCUCCCUGCCUGGCAGAAAUCGACAUCAAAGCACAGCACCCAGCCCACUAUCACUGAUCAGGAUGAGAGAGGGGAGACAGACAGGUGGGCUAGGCUGAUACCCAUCCCGCUCUGGAGAGACUGAGGGCCUAGCAGUGAAAGAGAGGGAGAGAAAGAGAUAGGGAUGGAGAUAUGGAAGGAGAAAAUAAACCAAAAGAUCAGGAUCUUUUGAAGUCAUAACUGUAAUCAAUGAGUCUGUGUGUAAAUUCCUCAGUGUGUGUGUGGAUGACAGAUCACUUGAGGAAAUGAAUCCUAGGAAUGCGUCUCUGCACUACUACUUCUAAUCUUAAUGUACUUUAUUUUAUUUACUUCAUUUAUUGAAUUACUAUUUUAUUCAUACAGUUCUUGUGCAGAGUAUGGAGGGAGGGAGGGUGAUUUUGGGAACCACUGCUGUCUGUGCAAGAUGUAACUUAAGAAUUAGGUCUUAUUCUAUUGAUGAAGCUCUCGGAACAUUCUAAUCUACAAAACAAAUUAUGACAUUUUAUUCAUGACGACGCCCUACUUCCAGAGCCAUAAAAAUCUUGUAUGUGACGAUAGCCCAUUUCAUUGAGUUAGUCAAUCCAACACCACUCAUAAAUACAGUGUUAAGGCAUCUUCCUGGUUCUCAUGAUUGUUUGUUUUUCGCUUGUUUGCCUUGUUUAAAGGCCCAUUCCAUUAGGACUCUGUUAGUUUAGUCACUGAUUGGUAUUUUGUAGUGUGUGUCUUCAACUGUAUUAGCUAGCUCCCAUAUUUUGUUUGCUCUGCCAUUACAGUUAUUUAUGAACCACACUGUUUCGAACUGGGUCAAACCCUACUGCAAUGUUAGUUAGUUUGUGUGUAUGUGUCUGUUGGGCCCAUAACUAGGUCCUAUUGUACCUUUGUGUUAAAUUAAACUCCCAAUUUGAGAUUUACC
rnacentral:lncRNA from 1 species